GAGGCCGUUGCCAGGGAGACGGGACUUGCAGUCCAAAGAGGGGCUCGGCCCCUUCCGCGCCCCACGCAUCUUCGCCGCCCGGCCCUCGCAGCCCCUCGGCCAGCGGAGGGGCGGAGGGGCGAAGGGGCAGAGGGGCGGCAGGGGGCCCCCCAACCCACCUGCGGGCCAGGGCAGCGACACCGGGGGGACAAAGACACCCGGAACCACCACAGCCGCUGCUGCCGCCGCCACCGGAAGCGCCUCUCCGGAAGCGCGACCACUGGUCGGAAGCUGCCGCUCUCCCGGAUAUGGUCCCUCCCUCGUCUCCGCCGACCUCUCCCUUCCCCCACGCCGGCUUGCCAUCCCGCGGCAACUGGGGAGCGGAAGUGCGCCUUCCCGGAUCGGAUGCGCGUCAGGAAGUCGCGCCUCGGUAGUGUCCUCGCUAAAGAAUCCCAUCAGGAAAGAAGGCUUCGGAUCAUUGGUUCCGGGCUCAAAGGAAGCGGGAGCUGGGCCCCCCAAACACAAGGGACCCCCGACUGCCUACCACGCUCGCCUCCCUCUGGCAGUCGAGACUGCAACAGAUAAGGAAACCAGCCCCUCCUGACUGGAGGAGAAGGAUGCCUAUCAGUGACCAUUUCUAAGAGACAUUCCUGGUCUGACUCAAGCCAGUGACCACCAUGCCUAGCCAGUCAGGAAUCAGUGCCCUAAUUCUCAAAUAUGAAAUCUAAGAGGCCUCAAUGAAAUGACCUGCUCAAAAUCUUGCCAGGAGACUGGCCAUUUUAGUCCCCAUUAGCAAUCCCAGCCCCCCCUUAUCCUCCGACCUCCCCAUCAUCACUCCAGCCUUACUUUCCCCUUUCCUAUUCACCUGAGGUUUACAAAGCACUUUGAGGCAGUUUAAUCUCACUUUAUCCUCAUAACAAGUCUGUGAGGUAGAUAGGGCAGGCAUCAUUAUUCCCAGCGGGAAGCUGUGGCUCAGAAAGGUUGACUUGGGGUCUAAAAACUAGUACAGGCAUCUGGUUUGAAUUAAGACCUGUAAACGCUAGUACGGAGCAGAGAAGCUGAGCACUGGCUUUGAAAGUUAUUCAGUUCCCAGGUUGUCCCUGAUCUUCCUCAUUCCUUGUGCAGUCUUCAGGAGUCCGGGGCAAGAUUCCAUGCAGAGGCAGCCAAAGCCACACCGUUCUCUGUCCCAGGGCUGCCAGCAUGGCUCUGAGGAGGAAAGCUCAGUAACUGCCCACUGGGGAAUAAAGGUCAGUUCCAUCCUUCUGCAGUGACCUCCCCCAGAAUAUCAACCCUUUGGAUGCAUUAUUUCAGAAGAGAUGGUUGGAUCCAGCCAGCUUGCAACACUGACAGUCACACAGAGAUAUGCAUACCAUUGCGCAUAAAUACACAUCUGCAACAUGCUGGGCCCAGACAGGUCACCAUGCCAAAAACACUCCACGGACACCUGACAAUGAGUGAGUUCACAUUGUGGAAGCCCAGGGAUUUCUGGUGAGGAGGAAGAGCCCUGGAGCUGCGGCAUCUUGGGGGCCUCUCAAGAAACCAAGGUUCCUGACCAGACUGCUUAGAGGAGAAAGAUUCAGCCCUCGACUCAAGAGAGGAGGGCAGGCGUCAGCAGCUUUUCCUGGCAAUGUGGAGAAGCAGCAAGAGGGCAGAGGGCGAGGAAGACUUCACAGCAAGUCCCCUCCACCCAGGGUCACCAGGUGCACCGAGAGGUCUCAGCCUACAGAAAGGUUUUUUGCUCGUUGCUUCUUAACCACUAAUGAUGGCAUAAAGGUCUUCCGGUGGGGGCGGCACUGAGGCCUUUCAGGGAGGUCCCUGGACUCGAUCCUGUGGAAUGAAAAGAAGACAUUAGGCUAGAAGGGGGAAAUAAAACUAACAAUGGCCCUAGA